GACAGAGGUGCCAAGCGUUAGGCGGAAUUACUGGGCGUAAAGCGCGUGUAGGCGGCUAAGUAAGUCGGGCGUGAAAUCCCACGGCUCAACCGUGGAAGUGCACUCGAAACUGCAUAGCUAGAGUCCUGGAGAGGAAGGUGGAAUGCUUGGUGUAGAGGUGAAAUUCGUAGAUAUCAAGCGGAACACCGGUGGCGAAGGCGGCCUUCUGGACAGUGACUGACGCUGAGACGCGAAAGCGUGGGGAGCAAACAGG
rnacentral:rRNA from 1 species